AGAGUUUGAUCCUGGCUCAGAGCGAACGCUGGCGGCAGGCUUAACACAUGCAAGUCGAGCGGGCCCUUCGGGGUCAGCGGCAGACGGGUGAGUAACACGUGGGAACGUGCCCUUUGGUUCGGAACAACUCCGGGAAACUGGAGCUAAUGCCGGAUACGCCCUUCGGGGGAAAGAUUUAUCGCCAAAGGAUCGGCCCGCGUCUGAUUAGCUAGUUGGUGGGGUAAUGGCCUACCAAGGCGACGAUCAGUAGCUGGUCUGAGAGGAUGAUCAGCCACACUGGGACUGAGACACGGCCCAGACUCCUACGGGAGGCAGCAGUGGGGAAUAUUGGACAAUGGGCGCAAGCCUGAUCCAGCCAUGCCGCGUGAGUGAUGAAGGCCUUAGGGUUGUAAAGCUCUUUCACCCACGACGAUAAUGACGGUAGUGGGAGAAGAAGCCCCGGCUAACUUCGUGCCAGCAGCCGCGGUAAUACGAAGGGGGCUAGCGUUGCUCGGAAUCACUGGGCGUAAAGGGCGCGUAGGCGGAUUGUUAAGUCAGAGGUGAAAGCCCAGGGCUCAACCCUGGAAUUGCCUUUGAUACUGGCAAUCUUGAGACCGGAAGAGGUUAGUGGAACUGCGAGUGUAGAGGUGAAAUUCGUAGAUAUUCGCAAGAACACCAGUGGCGAAGGCGGCUGACUGGUCCGGUUCUGACGCUGAGNNNCGAAAGCGUGGGGAGCAAACAGGAUUAGAUACCCCAGUAGUCC
rnacentral:rRNA from 1 species